GUGGGGAAUAUUGGACAAUGGGCGCAAGCCUGAUCCAGCCAUGCCGCGUGAGUGAUGACGGCCUUAGGGUUGUAAAGCUCUUUCGCUCGGGACGAUAAUGACGGUACCGAGAGAAGAAGCCCCGGCUAACUUCGUGCCAGCAGCCGCGGUAAUACGAAGGGGGCUAGCGUUGUUCGGAAUUACUGGGCGUAAAGCGCGUGUAGGCGGGUGUUUAAGUCAGGGGUGAAAUGCCAAGGCUCAACCUUGGAACUGCCUUUGAUACUGGGCAUCUCGAGUCCGGGAGAGGUGAGUGGAACUGCGAGUGUAGAGGUGAAAUUCGUAGAUAUUCGCAAGAACACCAGUGGCGAAGGCGGCUCACUGGCCCGGAACUGACGCUGAGACGCGAAAGCGUGGGGAGCAAACAGGAUUAGAAACCCCAGUAGUCC
rnacentral:rRNA from 1 species